rnacentral:rRNA from 1 species
UAGGUAGGUGGUCUCGUUUGUCUGGGGUGAAAGCCUUGAGCUUAACUCAAGAAGUGCCUUAGAAACGGCGAGACUGGAGUCUUGGAGAGGGUCGUGGAAUUCCCGGUGUAGCGGUGAAAUGCGUAGAGAUCGGGAGGAACACCAGAGGCGAAGGCGGCGACCUGGACAAGUACUGACACUCAACUACGAAAGCGUGGGGAGCAAACAGGAUUAGAUACCCUGGUAGUCCACGCUGUAAACGAUGGGUACUAGGUUUGAUGGGUCUUGACCCCCGUCGAACCGGCGCUAACGCAAUAAGUACCCCGCCUGGGAAGUACGGUCGCAAGACUAAA